AGCCAUCCUGCCAUGGACUAUGACUUGCUCCCAUUUCCCUUCACUGGCAUAUAUUUCUGUGUCAUGCCAUUACCUUCAUGUGGAGAGGUUUUGGCUGAAAGACAACUACUCCUUUCUUCUCAUCAGUUUGUUUUUCCUCCUUUAGACUUGCUAGUGUCUGGUGGGGGAGGAAUAUUCUGGAAGAAAAAUAGAGUCUCAGCAAUGCUGAUGGUGGCAGAUGUGAAGUAAAAGGUUAUGAUUUUUCAGUGGUUAUUACGACUGCUCCUAAUUUGUUGGGGUUUUUUUUUUGGUCAGAAUAAUCAAAUAUCCAUUUUGUACCUCAGCUUUUAACAGUCUACUGCAAAAAUGCAGUUGAUGUGUCUCACAGCUUUUUCUCUACAGGUUUGUUUCAGUGGUCAUUCAGGAGAGCUACUUUAAAAAAAAGCACAAAAAUUUCUCUGCAAAUGCCAAGCCUACAGCCUCAAAAAUUAAAAUCAAAAAAUGUAAAAGUCAAAUUUUAUUUCAGAGUUUUUGUAGCAUCUUAUGUAUAGUUUUUGUUAAUGUGUCAGUUCCACAUGUGUAAUAAAAUGUUAAUGUUA